rnacentral:tRNA from 1 species
GCGGAGGUACCAAAGUGGCUAUAAGUUCGGGUUCAUCAGCCCUAUUGGCUAAGGAGCAGCCUGCAAAGCUGUAUUACGCGUGUUCGAAUCACGCCCUCCGCU